GAUGAACGCUGGCGGCGUGCUUAACACAUGCAAGUCGAGCGAGAAGUUUUGAAAAGAUUCUUCGGAUGAAAUUUAAAAUGGAAAGCGGCGGACGGGUGAGUAACGCGUAGGCAACCUGCCCCAUACAAAGGGAUAGCAUUUGGAAACGACUAUAAAUACCUUAUGAAACUUAACUAGUGCAUGCUAGGUAGGUCAAAGAUUUAUCGGUAUGGGAUGGGCCUGCGUCUGAUUAGCUAGUUGGUGAGGUAACGGCUCACCAAGGCGACGAUCAGUAGCCGACCUGAGAGAGUGAACGGCCACACUGGAACGGAGACACGGUCCAAACUACUACGGGAGGCAGCAGUGGGGAAUAUUGCACAAUGGGGGAAACCCGGAUGCAGCAACGCCGCGUGAACGAUGAAGGCCUUUGGGUCGUAAAGUUCUGUUCUAGGUGAUGAAAACUGACAGUAACCUAGGAGAAAGCCCCGGCUAACUCCGUG
rnacentral:rRNA from 1 species